CCAUCGCGCAAGCGAGUAAGAUCCCUGAAAGAUGAUCAGGUUGAUAGGUCCGGUGUGGAAGUGUGGCGACACAUGGAGCUGACGGAUACUAAUCGAUCGAGGACUUAAUCAA
rnacentral:rRNA from 1 species